rnacentral:rRNA from 1 species
CCUACGGGAGGCAGCAGUGGGGGAUAUUGGACAAUGGUGGGAACCCUGAUCCAGCGACGCCGCGUGAGUGAAGAAGUAUUUCGGUAUGUAAAGCCCUGUCAGCCGGGAAGAAAGAAAUGACGGUACCUGACCAAGAAGCCCCGGCUAACUACGUGCCAGCAGCCGCGGGAAUACGUAGGGGGCAAGCGUUAUCCGGAAUUACUGGGUGUAAAGGGAGCGUAGACGGUUAAGUAAGUCUGGAGUGAAAGGCCGGGGCCCAACCCCGGGACCGCUCUGGAAACUAUUGAACUUGAGUGCAGGAGAGGUAAGCGGAAUUCGUAGUGUAGCGGUGAAAUGCGUAGAUAUUAGGAGGAACACCAGUGGCGAAGGCGGCUUACUGGACUGUAACUGACGUUGAGGCUCGAAAGCGUGGGGAGCAAACAGGAUUAGAUACCCGAGUAGUC